UAGGGAAUCUUCGGCUAUGGACGAAAGUCUGACCGAGCAACGCCGCGUGAGUGAAGAAGGUUUUCGGAUCGUAAAACUCUGUUGUUAGAGAAGAACAAGGACGUUAGUAACUGAACGUCCCCUGACGGUAUCUAACCAGAAAGCCACGGCUAACUACGUGCCAGCAGCCGCGGUAAUACGUAGGUGGCAAGCGUUGUCCGGAUUUAUUGGGCGUAAAGCGAGCGCAGGCGGUUUCUUAAGUCUGAUGUGAAAGCCCCCGGCUCAACCGGGGAGGGUCAUUGGAAACUGGGAGACUUGAGUGCAGAAGAGGAGAGUGGAAUUCCAUGUGUAGCGGUGAAAUGCGUAGAUAUAUGGAGGAACACCAGUGGCGAAGGCGGCUCUCUGGUCUGUAACUGACGCUGAGGCUCGAAAGCGUGGGGAGCAAACAGG
rnacentral:rRNA from 2 species